GGUUUGUGGCUCAGUGGUGGAGCACUUGCCUCACAUGUAUGAGGAACUGGGUUCAACUCUCAGCACCA
rnacentral:tRNA from 1 species